rnacentral:lncRNA from 13 species
AUUAGAGCCAUAAGGGAGACUAGACAUUUCCCACCCCAUUACCACUAUUAUAUUAGAGCCAUAAGGAAGACUAGACAUCUACCACCCACUACCGCUAAUCAGAUUAGAGCCAUAAGGGAUACUAGACAUCUACCACUAUCAGAUUAGAGCCAUAAAGGAGACUACCACUAUCAGAAUAAAGCCAUAAGGGAGACUAGACAUUUCCCACCCCAUUACCACUAUUAGAUUAGAGCCAUAAAGGAGACUAGACAUCUCUCACCCCACUACCACUAUCAGAUUAGAGCCAUAAGGGAGACUAGACAUCUACCACCUCACUACCGCUAAUCAGAUUAGAGCCAUAAGGGAGCCUAUUCAUCUACCACCCUACAAUCACUAUCAGAUUAGAGCCACAAAGGAGGCUAGACAUCUACCACUAUCAGAUUAGAGCCAUAAUGGAGCCUAGACAUCUACCAAACUACAAUCACUAUCAGAUUAGAGCCAUAAAGGAGGCUAGACAUCUACCGCUAAUCAGAUUAGAGCCGUAAGGGAGCCUAGACAUCUACCAAACUACAAUCACUAUCGGAUUAGAGCCAUAAAGGAGGCUAGACAUCUACCACUAUCAGAUUAAAGCCAUAAAGGAGACUACCACUAUCAGAUUAGAGCCAUAAGAGAGACUAGACAUCUCCCACCACAUUACCACUAUUAGAUUAGAGCCAUAAAGGAGACUAGACAUCUCUCACCCCACUACCGCUAAUCAGAUUAGAGCCAUAAGGGAUACUAGACAUCUACCACUAUCAGAUUAGAGCCAUAAAGGAGACUAGACAUCUACCACCCCACUACCACUAUCAGAUUAGAGCCAAAAGGGAGACAUCUACCACACCACUACCACUGUCAGAUUAGAGCCAUAAUGGAGACAUCUACCACCCCACUACCACUAUCAGAUUAGAGCAAUAAGGGAGCCUAGACAUCUACUACCCCACUAUCAGAUUAGAGCCAUAAAGGAGACUAGACAUCUACCACCUCACUACCACCAUCAGAUUAGAAUCAUAAAGGAGACUAGACAUUUACCACCCCACUACCAGAGCCAUAAAGGAGACUGGACAUCUACCACUAUCAGAUUAUAGCCAUAAAGGAGACUAGACAUCUACCACUAUCAGAUUAGAGCCAUAAAGGAGACUACCACUAUCAGAUUAGAGCCAUAAGAGAGACUAGACAUCUCCCACCACAUUACCACUAUUAGAUUAGAGCCAUAAAGGAGACUAGACAUCUCUCACCCCACUACCACUAUCAGAUUAGAGCAAUAAGGGAGCCUAGACAUCUACUACCCCACUAUCAG